AAUUGACGGUAAAGGAUCCCGAGGCUCAAGUUCUGCAGCUGCAUCUAUAUGACUGGGAAAAGAUUGGGGCGCAUGACAAGUUGGGAAUGCAAGUAGUUCCACUGAAAUUGCUCAAGCCAUAUGAGAAGAAAGAACUAACUCUUGAUUUGGUGAACAGCUUAAACCCAAACGACCCUCAGAAUAAGAAGCCGCGAGGCCAACUUAUGUUGGAAAUGUCCUUCAUUCCUUUCCAAGAAGAUAGUGUAAAGUUUAGUGGACCUCUUAGUUUUCACGAAAGAAAGGAGAGUAUUUCAAGCCUUUCAGAUGACAUUUCCUUACGUGGAGCAGGUUUGCUUUUGGUUACCGUUAUUGCUGCUGAAGAUGUAGAAGGGAAGAACCAUACCAAUCCUUAUGCAGUCGUAGUGCUUCGAGGAGAAAAAAAGAAAACUAAGGCAAGGAACAAAACGUGGAAUCCAAAAUGGGACGAAGAAUUCCAGUUUAUGUUGGAAGAAGCUCCAUUGAAGGACCUAAUCCAUAUUGAAGUCAAGAGCAAGAAGAGGAGAUUUGGUUUUCGGUCUAAGGAGGUACUUGGCUAUGUCGAUAUCCAACUGAAAGAUGUGAUCUACAAUGGACGUAUCAACGAGAAGUACCAUCUCAUCAAUUCUAAAGAUGGGAUUUUACAUGUUGACAUCAGAUGGAAGGUGAUCUAACAACUGCAGCCUCCUCUGUAUUUCGGAAUUAUCCCUUUUGAUAUUAAUCACAUUGAGCUUAAAAGAAGAAUCGAGGAUCCAUCUAGCCCACCCAGCUUGUUUGGGACUGAGGCGUAGUUUGGACAGUCUGAUCAGAAGUUCUCCUAGUAGUUGUUGUGUUUUUCAAAAUCACAGCACAAUGCCCAGAUCUUUUUGUUUGUUUAUAAACCAUGAAAAGAAAUGCAUACAAACAUAACAUGCACACAUAAGCAUGUUUA
rnacentral:misc_RNA from 1 species